rnacentral:rRNA from 1 species
UACGUAGGGGGCAAGCGUUGUCCGGAUUUAUUGGGCGUAAAGAGCGUGUAGGCGGCCAGGCAGGUCAGCUGUGAAAACUCGAGGCUCAACCUCGAGACGCCGGUUGAAACCAUCUGGCUAGAGUCCGGAAGAGGAGAGUGGAAUUCCUGGUGUAGCGGUGAAAUGCGCAGAUAUCAGGAGGAACACCGGUGGCGAAGGCGGUUCUCUGGGAAUGUCCUGACGCUGAGGAGCGAAAGUGUGGGGAGCGAACAGG